ACGGAAGGCAGCAGUGAGGAAUAUUGGUCAAUGGACGGAAGUCUGAACCAGCCAUGCCGCGUGCAGGAAUAAGGCCCUAUGGGUCGUAAACUGCUUUUGUGGUGGAGCAAUAAGGCGUACGUGUACGUCGAUGAGAGUACAUCACGAAUAAGCAUCGGCUAACUCCGUGCCAGCAGCCGCGGUAAUACGGAGGAUGCAAGCGUUAUCCGGAUUUAUUGGGUUUAAAGGGUGCGUAGGCGGGAUGUUAAGUCAGCGGUGAAAGUUUGCGGCUCAACCGUAAAAUUGCCGUUGAAACUGGCGUUCUUGAGUGUAAACGAGGUAGGCGGAAUGUGACGUGUAGCGGUGAAAUGCUUAGAUAUGUCACAGAACCCCGAUUGCGAAGGCAGCUUACCAGCAUACAACUGACGCUGAGGCACGAAAGCGUGGGUAUCAAACAGGAUUAGAUACCCUGGUA
rnacentral:rRNA from 1 species